UUGAUGAUACUUCGGCAUCAAAACAAAAUCUUCUAGUGAAAGUUUUGAAGUACACUCUAAUUUAAUUGUUUAGAGCCUAGGCUCUAUAUAAACUUGUCCCCGAAGGUAAAUGGCAGUGAUAUAAAAGUAGAAAAUUUUUUGGACCACUAAUGUCCUUGUUAAAUUUGAAAUGUCCACUCAAAUAGCGGGUAAAAUUUAUCAAAAAGGGUCUUUUUGGAAUUUACAAAGAAAACUGGACAUUUUGAGACCAAAAGGAGCUCAAAUAUGACUAUGGCUCCGCUCAUUUGUAAACCCGGGUUGAGCCGAUGAUGGUGGCACCAGCCAUGACAUUCGUGCAAAAUUGACAAGUGCUGGCAGAUGACGGGCUCAGGUCUCUCUCUAGGGUGGCGACCGGUGGUAAUACUGCCGCUUGCCCCAAGCCAUUGGUAUUACUAUCGGCACCAUCUCUCUCUUUUCGGGCCGGUCGCAAAUGCCAAUGACCCCAUGCCCUCUUCUCUUUCCCUCUAUUUUGGGCUGGCAGUAAAUGCUGCCAACCCCUGGCCCUCUACUCUUCUCCCUCUCUUUCAGGCUGGUGGUAAAUGCUGACCGUGCCUGGCCUGUCUUCUCUCAUUCUCUUUCUCUUUGUCAGGCUGGCAAUAAACACUGCCAGUGCCGACCCUUUUCUCUCUCUCUUUCAAACUCUCACUCUUUCAUGAGCCCUCACUCUUUCAUGAGCUCUCACCCACCAUCCUCAUAAAUUCAAACCCAUCUCCAUUAUCACUCUUUCCUCAUUUGGCGCAGCCCCCAUUCACCCGUCCUUUCCACUUUUGUGCUUCUACUAGCCCAUUUCUCACAAUCACAUCUCCUGGUUAUUGGUCCUCUUGCUUAUGCAUCAGUUUUGAACGCUUUGGGGCACAAUCACGACAGCCGAAGAAGAUUCUGCUCUUUCCUCGAAAAACAUCUCAUUACAAUCCCCUCUUUUCUCAUGUUCUCUUCUCAUGAUACUGAAAAUCAAGCAAAAGAUGUAUUAGAAACCCACAUCAAAAUUCAUUUAUGAGCCUGCCCAAGAGUCAUUCCCUUAAUAGGCUCUUCUGAAACCCAAUCCUCGGAAAUAAGUCCUUAAAACGAUUGGUGCUGGUGUAUUCAAGAUGAGUGAGAGGAUCUGUCCAAGAUCGGGUAUUUUGAGAAUCUAGAAAGUAUACCUAUCUAAGGCUCCCAAAAUAAACGAGUCUUGUUUAAUGCAGAUGCUUAACAUUUGGGUUUUUGGUGGGUCUAACUUAUGUAAUUUGGUACCAAACUUGGCCCACCCAUAACCGCUUAGCAAUUGAUAUGGACAGAGAAAUAUGGACCAUUAGAUGCAAAACCUUCCAUAUGUGGUAAGGGGAUAAGCUCCUAUACUUAUAAAAGGAGCUCACUCACCAAACACAGAGUCAUUGUCCAUCUCUCUAGUUAUCCACAAACUUUACAGCAAAAAAAAAAUUUCUUUUCAAUCUUUCCCUCUCUAUCAUUUUUCAAUCGAAUUAUUUUUAUAAUUAUUUUUCGACACUUGUAUCAAAGCGUGGUUCAUUUCUUUGUGAGGCUCUAUCAAACUUACAGGAUUCACUCAAUUUCUCUCUACCAGAAGUCCAUAAGGGGGCACGCUAUUGCCACAUGCAGUUUUACACAAGCAAUAGUGUUUCUCUCUCUACCCUUCAUACCAAAGCUUUUAUUUUGUCUUCUUGAUUUAUGCAGGCAAUAUUGUUUCUCCCUCUACCCUUCAUACCAAAUCUUUAUUUUGUCUUUAUAUACUUUUGUCAUCUCCUUAAUUGAAACUGGAAAAUAUUGUUUCUGUCUCUACCCUUCAUACCACAGCUUUUAUUUUGUCUUUAUAUACUUUUUUAUCCUCUUAUUUUGUUUUUAUGUGUGCUCUCUCUUCCCCUAGGGCCUGUUUGAUAACUGGAAGCAAGUUCAUAAACUGUAAAUUGGAAGUUCCUGAAUAACUAUACAUUAGUAGUUCUUGGUUUCUGUGUUUGAUAAUUACCCCAGGGAAGUUGGGAAGUUAAGAAGUUCCUGGUUUUUGUGUUUGAUAACCUCUUGGGAACUUAAGAAGUUCAUAGUUUCUAUGUUUGAUAACCUCCUAGGAAGUUAAAGAAGAACUGGGUAUCUGUAUUGUAUUAGCUAAGUAAUACGCAAGAUGUAAAUGUUAAAAUUGAUACCUAGAUAUUAUUUAUUUUUUAUUAAUUUGUAGAAUAUUAUUUUUUGGAAUACAAUAUCAAUUGAAAGCAAAGUACAAUAUUAUUUUUCUAUAAUAACUUGAGCACUACUUACAUUCACCACUGAUGCCUCCAUAUCCCAACCUAAAAAAUGUACGUCAUUCACAAUUCAAAAAUAUUCAUCAUUCACAAGUGGUACACAUAACAUUUGUGAGUUCUCUCUCUCUCUCUUAAGAUUAUAAUGGCACACAACAUUUAUAUGUUAUCUACUAAGGAAUUUGUGAUGCAUGUCAAGCAACAUUCACAAUUCAUGCAUCCAUAUAUAACCAUGUACAAAACCAGCCCAUUCAACAUAGUCUGUAAUAGUUUAAACAUACAUAAUUGAAAUGCAAGCAGUAAGAAAUCAGCUCAUUCAAACACACAUACAUAAUGCAAGCAGUAAGAAAUCAGCCCCCAUUCAACCAUUACCUGAAAUAACUUGAGCACUACUUACAUUCACCACUGACCACUGAUGCAUCUAUAUCCAACCUAAAAAAUAUUCAACAAUAAAACAACAAUGUUGUUUGUCCCUUAAAACUUUUGUGUGUUCUCUCUCUCUCUCUAACAUUAUAAUGGCAUACAACAUUUGUGUCUUAUCUCUUAAAACAUUUGUGAUGCAUGUCAAGCAACAUUCACAAUUCAUGCAUCCAUAGAUAAUGUACAAAACCAGCCCAUUCAACAAUAACCUGUAAUAGUUUAAACAUACAUAAUUGAAAAUGCAAUUGAAUGAACACAACAUUUCAACAAUAACCUAAAAUAGUUUAAACAUACAUAAUUGAAAAUGCAAAUAGUAAAAAAUCAGCCCAUUCAACAAUAACCUGUAAUAACUUGAGCACUAUUUACAUUCACCAGUAAAAAUCUGCUAUCUUAUUCAAAUAUGCAAUUUGAGGAAGUACUUGUGAAUUGCCUUAACACCUUGGCAAGUGUCCUGUAAUAUCACAAGACUCAACUGAGUCAAGCCUCUUUUUAUUGGUUAAUCGAUAGAUUAAACCAAAUAGAUCCUGUAUGACUCAGCUCAGGAACCUACCAAGCCAAGCUGAGUCACUGAUCAGAGGUAAAAGGUCAAGUCUUUGGAAUGUUUAAAGCCUUGUUGAUAAAUACAACUUAAAGGGAAGGUAUCUAACAACCAAAUUCAAAGUGGUCCAAGUGUUUACAUUCCAUUUUCAUCCUGAAUAAUUUCCAAUCAAUAAGCUCUUUUAUCAAUUCAUUUGUUGUCACUGCAUCUUGCUAGAAUGCAAGCAAUCCAUUUUAUUUAGCAUCAAGGGUUCGCCACAAAACAAAAUAGAGGCCCUCAAAAAGGACAAUAGUAUAGAAGAUAAUAUUCCAAAUUAUUACCUUCAUCUAACCUACACCUUGAGCAACUAUGAGAAACCAUGUGACUAUGCUGCUGGAUAAUAACAAUCAAAGAACAAAGACGAAUGGACUUUUUUCAUGUAGAUAGGUAACUGAAAAUGCAAUAGAAUAAACACAAAAUUCGACGAGGACUCAAAAUUUGUGGCCACAAAAUAAUUGAAAAUGCAAUAGAAUGAACAUAUCUUGUUUGCAUAAAAAGAUAUAAACAAACCCACAUUAUGAAUGGGCAAGAGAAUAGCCAAAUUUUAAAGACCAAACAGAAUUUCUAUCAAUUUUGACAAAUAAUCAAAUGGCCAAGAAAAUACCCACACAUCCCAAGUAGCUCAAGGAAGCCCUCUCAAUGAUGCAAUAACAAUCAAUAAAAUCAAUCACCCUGUAGGCAAACAUCCCAAAUAUAAUUGAAGAAAAUAGCCAGACAUAUGAAGUAUGAUGCCAUCACAAUCAAUAAAAAUAAUACAAAUAAAGCAUGAUACGUAUAAAGUAUGAUGCAAUCGAUUUUGCUAUUUUCACAUAAUAAAUGGGAGAAAGUGCAUGUCUUACAUUCAAUUCCACUUGAGCACAAUUCGUAUAUUCAAUUCCAUUUAAGUUGUGUUUUUGUUGUCUCUAAGAUGAAAUGAGUGUCAAUGGAUUCAUAAGAGGUAGCAAAAAUGCUGAUGAUGGAGAGAUGCACCGAUCACAAUAAUAAUCUCAAGAAGCUCAAUAUAGAAUUACAUAAAAGUUAUAUGCCAGAAUUCAAAACUUAACUGAAAAUGAGUGGAAACCCAUGUAUACAAUACAAACAAACAAAAAAUUAACUUUAAAAUUAGCUAGAAAUUACACACAAAUUGCCUGAAUGAAUUACUCAAGAGAAUUCCUUAAUCCAACACAAAUCAUUGAGAAUAAACUCAACAAAAUAAACCAAGAAUAAACUCAACCAAAAAAAUACUCUAAUCCAAGGACUCGCUGUUUGCAUCUUCUUACUCAAUAGUAAAGUAGUCAUUGAGAAUAAACUCAAAAAAAUAAAACCAAGAAUAAACUCAACCAAAAAAAUACUCUACUCCAAGGAAUGAAAUUGACAAAUAAUUUAUCCCAGAAAACUAACGAAAGGAGAACAAAUUUCAACCCCACCACUCAUUUUGAAGCACAGAGUCCACCCAUAGCAAUUCUACAUAACAAUAGCAAUAAUUAGCAACAAAAAUUGUGGAACAAAUGUUUACGUGCGAAUCUGUGCCGAUGUCUGAUGUGACAUCAACUCUGUCCAGAAUUUCUGGUUUGGGGGAGGGGAUGGUCUACAACAAAAUAACCAUAGCAGAAAUUUCAAAAAAAAAAAAAGUGCACAAGAAAAAAUGAGCACUCAUGAUGAAUAAAUCAUGGAUAAACUGAAUAAAAUAUUUAUGGACAGCGUACAAAAUAUUAAUUCAGACACAGAAAUAUGCAAUGAAACACAAAUAAACUUCACAGUUCAGAUCAACAAGGUCACCAACUAUUAGCAGAUCAUGAAAAACCAGAAUUAGAUCACACCAAAACAUCAUCGAAUUUCACCUCAAAACGCAUUAAAAAAAAAGAAUUGCACCACAAAAGAUACAAAUAAUCCACGAAAUACGAAAUAAGCACAACAUAGUGAAAAAAAAAAAACCAAUUUAACAUUCCAUUCAUGUCAAAAAGACCAAUAAUGAAGAAAAAUUGAAGAAAAAAAACAAGAAACUAGACAACAAACCUAAGAAUGAUUCUUCAGUUAAAUGAGUGAAAUAAACCAACUUGAGCACCGUAUAAUCACUUUAACAAAAAAACCCUAUUAGAUUUGGGUAUUCUCUAUCGAAAAAAAACUUAACAAAACCCUGUAAAAUUCUAGAGAGAGACCAAUGAAACCUUCAACCACAAUGUCGAGAGAUAGACUAAUAUUAUCCCAAAGUUCUAGAGAGAGACACAAAUCCAACUUAAGAUUCAAUGAUAUCUAGUGACAACACAUAAAGGGGCUCAGAAGAGCCUCUCAGAAAUUCUAGAGAGAGAAACAAAGAGACCAAGACCAAGAGAGAGAGAGAAAGAUAGAUGAGCGUACGUGGUAUCCUCUGUAUAGAGCUAGGGUCCGGGAUGCCCAGAGCGACAAGAAGAGAGUGAACUAUGGGUGAGGAGGAAAGAAGUUGCAGCGUUGAGCUUCGGUGGGCCAAGCGAGGUUGAGAAACUUAGGGCCUGCGGCGAAGAGAGGGACUGCUACGAAGAAAGGGAUGGCUCAGCUGCGAAGAGAGGGAUGGCUCAGGGCAAGAGCAAACUUUCGUGGGUGAAGUUUUAUAAAAACUUCCCACUUCAAGUUCCGCUUUUUAACACAUAAAGUAAACAGUAGAGGGGAACAUGAACAGUAAAGCGAAGUUCUCCAUUUAACUUCCAUUUUUUUAUCAAACACCAAACAUGAACAGUAAAGUGAAGUUCCAAGUUUCCGGAAUACACUUCUUGUUAUCAAACACGCACCUAAAGAGCAACGCUUUUGUCCAUGCUCUACACUUUUUUUUUAACUUCUAUUGCCUCCCUCACUCUCUGUUGAGAAGCUUCUUGGGUGAGAUAUCUGUUUGCAUCCUAAGUCAAAUGCUAAUCCACUGCUCUCUAGACAUGUGAAAGCUCUAUCGACCCAAAGUUUUAUUUUCGCUGAACAUUUCCGUAGUAAAAGCUGAUUCUUUCACACAGCCAAGCUCACGAUGUAGGGCUUCGAUUAUUUGUGCAGCAAAAAGACUUGGAUUUGUCGCCCUCAAUAAAGGAACUCUGUGACUCACCAUCGACCAAAAGGGCAUCACCAUCAUCACCCGAGAAAUUGAUAGAAUCAUUUAUCAAGAAAGUAGUUAGAUGAUCUAAACAUUGAAUUUGUUGAUAUUCCUAUAUUUCUUUGAUAGCAUGGCUGCUAUAUUGGUGAUGAGUGAACUAUCUAAAACUGAAAAACUUAAUGGGUCAAAUUUCAUUAUGUGGAAAAGAAAAAUGAACUACAUAUUGAUUCAAGACAAGAUUGACUACAUUUUGACUUCUACUAAACCUUAAACCCCUCUGCCCAUAGUAGAAGAGAACUUGUGAAAUGGGAAGGGGAUGAUAAAUUAGUAAAAACUACAUUGUUUCCGUUUACGGAAGAUGAUUUGAUAAGAGUUUUUGAAGAUUAUGAAACAUCCAAAUUAAUGAUGGAAGCUUUGAUUGAAAAAUAUGGAUCUACAUCUGAAACCCAUAUUCAACUUUUGGUUUGAGAAAUACAACUCAUGUCCGAUGAGGGAAAAUGAAUUCGUGGAAGAGCAUGUUAACAAAAUGCUUGUUCUUGCUAAAGACCUUGUUGCGACAAGAAGCCUCAUUCCUGAUCGUAUGCUUUUGUCAGCUGUAUCAAAUAGUCUCCCACGGUCAUAGGAACCUGUAGUCAUAGGAACCUGUAGUCAAUGCUCUAAAUUACUCAUCCCAAGGAAUUACCAAGUGGAACUUACCCAUGUAUCUGAGUAUAGAGAAAGAAAUAAGAAAUAAAAAGGGAAAGGCAGAAUUGUACUUUGCCCAAAAUUACUCUAAACAUGACUACCCUAGACUUGACAACAAUCACAACAAAAAGAAUCGAUUUAAAGCGAAUGGUAAGGUUUUCAAACCACAAAGGCCUACAACAACUCGCCAAAAUAUUGCACCUGCGGAGAGAUAGGGUAUAUUAAACCUAAAUGUCCAAAUAAAAAAUAUAUCCAAUGGCUACCACAGGAACAAUGGAUAACGGAGCAACCACAAGAAUAUCAAGAAAUUCGACUUAGUUUGUGUGGUCUCCGAACAUAUAGUGGUUGAUCAUGAUAUGAAAGGAUGAUGGGUGGACUCUACAUCGACCAGAUAUGUUUCAAAAACUAAGGAUGGUUUUGUCGAUUUGACGGAAGUCAAAACCAGUAGACCCUCUUUCAAAAGCAUCAAGAGGAUUGAGACAAGGGGACCCACUUUCACCUAUAUUACUUUGAUAGCUGAGAGCUUUAGUGUCAUGCUUAAUGGAUUGACAGUGCAAAGGAUCAUAUCAGGUGUUAAUAUUGGUACAAAUGGUCUUAUAGUAUCACAUUUACAAUAUGCUGAUGAUACUAUUAUAUUCUGUGAUCCAACAGUUACUGAAAUCACUUGCCUAUGGAUUUUUUUUUUAAAGCGUGGAACUUUCAAUCUGACUUAAAGUUAAUUUGAGUAAAACCAAGCUCAUUGGUAUUAGCUAUCCGCAAAUGGUAGUAUCAAGAAUGGCACAUCUAUUAGGUUGUGGUGUUGAGUCCUUACCUUGUACUCAUUUGAGAAUUCCCUUAAUGGAUUCGAGGCCCUUAAGAUCAAUUUGGGAUCCGGUGGUGGCGAGAUUUGAGAAGAAACUUGACACUUGGAAAGCUAAACCUCUUUCUAUAGGAGGAAGAUAUACGUUGAUUAAAUCCACUUUGUCUAACCUCCCAGUAUAUUUUAUGUCUUUAUUUAAGAUGCCAAAAGAAGUUGAAAGACAACUGGAGAGAAUAUGAGAAAUUUCUUGUAGCGAGAUGACAUAAGAAGGAAGAGAUUUCAACUGGUGAGUUGGGAAAAGUUUAUAGACCAAUGAAGGAAAGGGAGUGGGUGUUAAGAGACUAAAACAUAUGAACUCGGCACUUUUAGUAAAAUGGUGGUGGAGGAUCCAUACACAACCUAAGUCUUUCUGGGUGCUUGCUCCGUGAGAAAAAUAAGGAAUGGAUUUGAAUUUUGGUCACAAUAAAAGUCCAAGAAACAUGACAAGUUUGUCCCAUGUUUAGAGAGGUAUUGACUAUGAGAGAUCUGUGUAUCUACGGUAAUUUCGAAAAAUAGUGGGGAAUGGAGAAUCCACGCUCUUUUGGUUUGACAAAUGGAUUGGAGAUGAACCGUUGAGAUACCUUUUCCCCGAGGUCUUCUCAAAAGCUUUAAACCCGCUAGCAUCUGUUAAGGAGGCUAGUAGGGGUGUUUAUACUAAUAUUGUUUGGUCCAUUCCUUGCAAGUACAACAGAGGUACAGACAGAUUCAUUGAGGAGUAUUAGGCAUUGUUGGAAUUAUUGAAUGACACAUAUUUGACUCCAAAUAUGGAUGAUAACUUUAUUGGGGAUCUUACCCCUUCGGGAGACUUUUCAGUUAAGUCAACCUACAACCUAUUAUUUUCUGAUCAUUGGAGAGAAUUAGAUACUGGUUUAUUCAAGAUUAAAAAAUUGCAUUGGCCUCUUAAAGUACAGUUAUUCUUAUGGAUCUUGUGUCAAGAUAAACUAGCAAAUGUUGACAGCUUGAGAAAGAGGGGGUUUAUUAUAUCACCAAUGUAUGUAUCCUGUGCAAAGCCAGUGAUCAAACUUCGCAGCAUCUUUUCCUCUCAUGCCCUUUUGUUACUUAUCUUUGGGAUUUGGCUCGCCAGUGCCUCAAUCUAUCAUUACCUUUGCCCCAAAAUGUCCGAGCUCUUCUUGACCAAUGGAUUACACCCGAUAUUUCAAAGAUGGGAACUAUCCUUUGGAGAUCUAUUUGGGUUAGCCUUCUUUGGAAUGUGUGGAAGGAAAGAAAUAGAAGAGUCUUUGAUAGUAUAAGUGCAAAUCUGUCUACAUUAAAAUCGAAUAUUUUGGCAGUUGCAGUUGAUUGGCUCCUUGCACAUAAGGAUAGUGGCUUCAUUCUUAAAAGUCUUAUCAUUAGCAAUCCUUCCGGAGUGGCAACUAUGGUGUUACCAUCAAUACUCGUAGUGAGGUUGUUUGGAUACCACCACCAGUGAAUUCCUUCAAACUUAGUUUGAUGGAAGUUCACAUGGCAAUCCAGGGCCAGCCGGCUAUGGGGGACUCAUCAGAAAUAAUUUGGGUCACAUUAUUUUUUCUUACUCGGGUCAUUAUGGUAUCACAACAGCAAAUGAGGCGGAACCACGAGGUUCAUUAGAAGGUUUGAAAUUGCUAUGCACUUUGGAAGGGGACAGAAUUAUCGAAGGACGCAAAUGUCAUUGCCUGGAGUAAGAGAAUGGCCAAAAUCCCCUGGAGUCUAUUUUUCAUGAAAUUUGGGAUAUUUUGUCAACCUCUAUGGCGACGGUCCAACAUUGUUAUAGAGAGGCGAAUGAAGAUGUCGAUAUUCUUGCUAAAGGAGGAGUACAUAUUCCCUCUCUGUUGGUUACUUCUUUUCUGUAAUAUUGUGUCAUUGCUUGAACAUCUUGUAUUUUACAUAUGAAUUAAUAAUAAGUCAAACGUUACCGUUCAAAAAAACAAACCAGCGACCAGCAAAUGCACAUUGGAAAUGACACCUUUCACAUAUUAGCUAGAGUUGCCAGAGAUUGUAAAUUUCCUCCUUACUAAUACUUUACAUGCGUCAAAUAUGAAGUGCAACCUUAUUUUUGUCCCUAGGUUAGAUGAAAAGGGCAAUGAUAUCUAUUUCAGGUCUAGGAAGGUGUCUAUUUGAAAACAUGGAGAGUAUAAGUUUGGGGGGAGGAAGUUGAAAAUUUGUAUUAUCUAAAUAAUGUUAAUAAAAUGAAUAAUGUUACUUCUUAUAUCAAUAUGGCAAUGAAUGUGGCUGAAAAUGAUGAAUAUAUGCCACUCGAGAUUAUGACAUACUAAUAAAAGGGAAAUUAUCUCUUUAUCCCCUAUUUUUAACUUCUAUAUCUCAUGAGACCCAAGAAUUGAAAAUAUUACUUGUCAGCAGAGGUCUCUAUCUUAUAUAUCUUACAACCCCCUGGACCCCUUUGACCUUAAAUUUUUUACUACAAGAAACUACAAUGACACCCUAUCCAAACUUUUUUUCUUCCACAAAACUCCAUCUCUCUCACACUCUAAAACUCAAAGUUGCAGAAAAAUUCCCCUCUCUACAUCAUCUCUUACUCCUCUCUCUCUCUCUCUAAACAUUAUCCAGCAUCGUGGCCAACAAAAAAUGGAAUCUGAGAGAUAUGUGUCGUAUAUCCUCGGAAAGGGUACUCAGAUCAGUUCUUCGCCUAUGUUUCUUGGGGAAGAUCAAAGAGUUCCUUAAUAGCAAAGGACAUUUCCUUCUGCAGAGACUCAGGGACCGCAAUAUCGUACACAACCUCGAAAUACCCGGGGCCUUCCAGAGCAUCUCGCACCUCUCGUGUUAGGGUUUUCCAUCUCAAUCUCUCAAUGCAUGGUAUCAAAUUACCUAAGAAAUCAAGUACUGCUAUUUUCAUGCCCAAAUCAAAGCCCAUGUUCAAGACAAAUGGAGCUGAUGUUUUUUGGGUUGAAUGGGGAUAGAUUUGAUUUUUUGGUGGGUUUGUUUGCAAGAGGUGCGGUGUAUAUAUAGAGCAGGUCACAAGCUCUUUCCCUUUUGAUACAAGCACAAAUAUUAGUUUCUUAGUAAGAGCCGCUGGAGAAGAAAGUGACAGGAAUUCCUUAAUUAGAUUUCCCAUAUCAGUCAAAAAUGGCCACUGGUUCCUCUAUUACCCUAGGAAAACAGAAAGAGAAAAACCCAAAGUUGCUAGAGAGAGAAAAUGGCCACUGGUUCUUCUAUUACCUAAGGAAAGAGAAAAUCAAAACCUGUAGAAGUGAUCAGAAGCCCUUAAUAGUUCAUGUGUCAGAGAAAAGGAACGAUUGGAGACCAAAUCACAUCCAAAAAGAAACUCAAAUUUUUUUCUCUUUCUGUUACAGUUAACUUUGAAGAAGCCUGCAAAGAUCAGUUUCAGAGAGAGAGAGAGAGAGAUUCUGGGUUUUUGGAGUCGACAGUUACAAGAAGACGAAGAACUAGUGCUGGAUGAAAAGGGAAGUGGUACUCGAGAGAGAAAAUGGCCAUGGGUUCCUCUAUUACCCUAGGAAAAUAUAGAAAGAGAAAAUCAGAACUCGAAGAAAGAGAGUGCAGAGAGGGGAAAGAGAGAUAGAGUUUUGAGGAAGAAGAAAAGUUUGGAUAGGAUGUCAUUUCAGUAUUUUGUUGGGUCAAAAAUUUAAGGUCAAAGAGGGCCAGGGGGUUGUAAGAUAUAAAAGAUACAGACCUUUUGCUUACAAGUAAUAUUUUCAAUUCUUGGGUUUCAUGAGAUAUAGAAGUUAAAAAUAGGGGACAAGGAGAUAUUUUCCCUUAAUAAAAAUAAAAUGAAAAAAAUAGUUAAAAGAGCAAAUAUCCAUAAAGAGAUUUAAAUGGAAAAUGGCAAACUAGUAAAAACUCCUAUUUGCAAAGGAGCAUGAAACUAACAAAGAAAGAAUGUCCAAUUAAUGACACAGAUAAGGCUGAAAUGGAACAUAUUCCAUAUAAACAAGCCAUUAGGUCUAUUAUGUACAUUAUGCUUUGUACAAGACUUGACCUUAGUUUUGCAAUAAGAUACGUUAGUAGAUUUUAAAGUAACCCAGGUAUGACUCACAUACAAGCAAUUAAAAAAACACUCAUAUAUAUCCAUGGAACCAAACAUUAUAAAUUAUGUUAUCAGGUUGAUAACCUACAAAUUCAAGGAUUCUCUGAUGUAGACAUCAUAAGGAGAUCUAGAUGAUAAAAAAUCCACUUCUGGAAAUCCUUUCCUCUUUGGAGGAGGUUUUGUUUCUUGGUUUAGUACGAAAUAGGAAUGUAUUGCCUGGGGUACAAUGAAAGUGGAAUACAUCUCUUGUAGUAUAGUUUCUACUUUUGCCAUCUAGAAGCCGCUUCUUUAGAGAUUUGAAACUGGAAAUAGCCGACAAGCCAGUUCAUAUAUUUUGUGAGAAUCAAGCUACAAUUUUUUUAAUUAAAAAUGAAGCAAUUGGCUCUAAAGGAAAACACAUAGAAGUUGAUUAUCACUAUAUCCUAAACAAAGUGAAAAAGAAAGAAACUGCAGUAAGUUAUUUGCCUUCCAAUGAUAUGAUAGCAAAUCCUUUAACAAGGGAUUGCCUAAAUGUUCUCCAAGCAUUUGACUAUGAUGGGAUUUAAAGAAACAUAUUUUUUCUUCCCAAGAGGCUCCUUUUGAAUGCUACAAAGAAUGAAAUCCUAUGGGUAGAAAAAACCUUGUAACGAAGCAUGUCACAUUAGAUAAAACCUUAAACGGGUAAAACCUUAUGGUUUAGCAACGUUGGUGCAUUCGGCCUUUUAGCAAAGUUGGUGUGCUUUAGUUAGACCCCUAAAGCCUCAUGACCACCAUAGUGUUCAUGGUUCCUCUCUUACCUUCUAUUUUAAAUGCAUUUAGUUUAAUUAAAUUAUAUCAUAUGUUUGCUAUAAUAGUCUCAUUGCAUUCAAAUCCUUUGACUAUCUUUUGUGGUAGAUUUCAUUCUCUUUCUUUUUCUUAACCGCCCAUUAAUGAUAGUCUAACAAUCACAUUAAACCAAACAUUUGUUCUUUGGGGUAAGAGAGAGAAUGAUAAAAAAAAUGAAGGCUUAGCUAUCGAUAUGGGUAGCGAGAAAUCUAAACUAUUGAAUGCAAAUCCUUCCAUAUGUGGCAAGAGGAUAAGCUCCAAUGCUUAUAAAAUGGGCUUACUCACCCAUUAAAUAACAGAGAGAAAAAUCUCAUAGUCAUUGCCCAUCUCUCCUCUCUAGUUAUCCAUAAGCUUUACAGCAAAAUUCUUUUUUUAUCUAUAUUUCUCUCUCUAUCAUUUUUCAAUCGAAUUAUUUUUAUAUUUAUUUUUCAACACUUUUUUGUAUAAAAAUGGAUGUUCUGUUGGGAUUCGAACCCUGAUUAUAAGAAAUCUACAACUACUCGAACCGUUAAAAAAUCAUUGAUGGGUGGUUAAGCAAAGAAAAGAAAGAGAAUGAAAUCUACCAUAAAAGUGAGACCAUUAUAGCAAGUACAUAGUCUAAUUAAAUUUAGUUUAAAAAGAAGGUAAGAGAGCAACCAUGAACACUAUGGUGGUCCUGAGGCCUUAAUGGCCAUAUUCCAACACUCUCACUUGGCCAAAAAGCUGAAUGCACCAACAUUGCCAAGCCACAAGGUUUUGCCCGUUUAAAGUUUUACCCAAUGUGACAUGUUUUGCUACAAGGUUUUGUUCAUCUACAGGAUUUAAUUCUUUAUAGCAUUCAAAAGGUGCCUCUUGGGAAGAAAAACUAUAUUUCUUUAAGUCCCAUCAUGGACACAUGCUUGGAGAACAUUUCAGCAAUCAAUCUUUUUAUUAAAAGGUAUAUUAUCAUAUCACUGAAAGGCAAAUAAUUUACUGCAAUUUCGUUCUUUUUUGCUCUGUCUAGGAUAUAGUGAUAAUCAACUUCUAUGUGUCAGCCCUUAGAGCUCAUUGCUUCAUUUUUAAGUAACAAAAUUGUGGCCUGGUUAUCACAAAAUAUUUGAACUGGCUCGUCGAUUAUUUCCAGCUUCAAAUCCCUAAUGAAACGACUUAUCCAGACAACAAAAGUACAAGCUAUUCUACAAGAAAUGUAUUCUUCUACUAUUGUGCACUGCGCAACACAUUCAUGUUUUUUACUAAGCCAAGAAACAAAACCUCCUACAAAGAGGAAAAGAUUUCUAGAAGUGGAUUUCUAUCAUCAGGAUCUCCUGCGAAGUCUGCACCAGAGAAUCCUUGAAUUUUUAGGUUAUCAGCCCGAUAACAUAAUUUACACUGUUUGGUUCCUUGGAUAUAUCUGAGUAUCUUUUUAAUUGUCUGCCAAUAAGUCAUACCUGGGUUACUUUGAAAUCUACUGACAUAUCCUAUUGCAAAACUAAGGUCAGGUCUUGUACAAAGCAUAACAUAAAUAAUAAACCCAAUGGCUAGUUAUAUGGAAUAUGUUUCAUUUCAGCCUUAUUUGCAUCAUUAGUUGGACAUUCUUUCUUUGAUAGCUUCAUGCCUUUGCAAAUAGGAGUUUUUAUUAGUUUGCAGUUUUCCAACUUAAAUCUCUUAAUGACAUUCUCUAAAGAUUUUUCUUGAGAUAAACAGCGAAGCCUAGAAUUUCUAUCCCUUGUAAUUUUCAUUCCCAAAACAUAUGAUGAUUCUUCCAUAUCCUUCAUUUCAAAAUAUGAAUUAAGCCAAGAUUUUUAUUCAUCAUUUUCAUAUCAUUUCCAGCUAAUAGAGUAUCAUCCACACAUAGAGAUAAAUCACAAAUUUACUCCCAUUGUUUCAAACAUAUACACAGUGAUCCAAUCUAUUAGCUAUAUAGCCAGUUUGGGCGAUUAUCUUGUGAAAAGUUAAGUACCAUUACCUAGAUGAUUGGUUUAGAUCAUAUAAUGAUUUCUUCAAUUUAUAUGUUUAUUCUUCUUGACCUGCAACUACAUAUCUCUCUGGCUAAUUCAUAUAAAUAUCUUUUUUUAAUUCUCCAUUUAAGAAUAUUGUCUUAAUAUCUAAUUGAAAUUAUUCCAAGUUAUAAUGCUUACUAAUGCUAAUGUUAUUCUUAUAGAUGUAAAUUUUGCUACAGGAGAGUAUGUCUCCAUAUAAUCUAUUCCUUCUUUCUGAGUAAAUCAUUUGGCUACUAAUCUAGCCUUAUAUUUAUCAAUGGUUCCAUCAGCUUUAAAUUUCUUCUUAAGAAUCCAUUUACAUCAGCCUUCAUAUCUUCAGGAAGGUCUACAAGUUCCCCUACUUGAUUUCUUUAAUUAGAGUUAAUUUCAUUAUCUAUCGACCCAUUCAAACAAUUCAAGUGAAUUGAUAGCAUCACUAUAAGUACAUUCAUAUAUCUCAUCAUCAUGUAAGAAUAUAUAAUAUUCAUCUAAAUGGAAAGGAAGAGCUCUAGACCUUUGAUUUCUAUCUAGAUUUGGGGACCUUUGAUUUCUAUCUAGAUUAGGCGACUCAAUAAGGUCAAAAUCACUAGUUGUUGGUAUAAGAUCCAUGGAAUUUACUUGAUCUUUAUUAUACCCUUCUUCAAAUAAGUCAACUUCUUUAUUUUUAUUUUUAUCGUUAUCUAAAGUUUCUAGAAAAUGGGCAUCCCUACUCGAAAUUAAGUUCGUCAUGAUCAUAGAACUUAUAUCCCUUAGAAUUAUCACAAUAUCCUAUAAAUGAACAUUUAAUUAUUUUAUUGUGAAGUUUGACUCUUUGGUGAUAUGGGAUGAGCACAUGUACAGGCGAUCCCCAAAUUUUUAAUAUACGUAGGUCUAGUUUUCUUCAUGUCCAAAGUUCAUAAGGGGUCAAUUCUAUCGACUUCAUUGGCAAUCUAUUUAAAAUUAAUAUACCUAUACUAAUGGCUUUUCCCCAAAAAAUUUUAGCUAGGUUGGCUUGGCUCAUUAUAGACAUAACCAUUUCCAUGAAAGUCUUAUUGCGCCACUACACUACUUCAUUUUAUUGUGUGGUGUAUGGUAAGGUCGUUUAAUGUAUUAUACCAUAAUCUCUACAAAAUUGGUUAAAUAAUUUUGAUGUGUAUUCUCCUCCCCUAUCGGUCAUUGAAAUUUUAUGUCUUCCUAAUUGAUUUUCCGCUUCUGUUUUAUACUUUUUAAAUGUUUCAAGGCAUCAGAUUUUCUACUAAUAAAGUACACAUAUCCAUACCAGAGUAAUCAUCUAUGAAGGUUAUAAAAUUCUCCAACCUCUAUAUGUCUUAACAUUCAACGGUCCACAAAUAUCUGAGUGGAUUAUAUUAAGAAAUUUUUGUGAUAUUUAUCCUUGAAGGAAUGGUUUUCUAGACAAAUUUCCUGAUAGACAAGGUUCACAAGUUUGGAACUCAAUUUCUUUAAGAUUAGGUAUUAUUCAUCUUUUUACUAAUAUUUGCAUUCAUAGAUUCAAAAAGCAGACAGCCCAGUGCCUAGGGGCAGCUCCAUAAGGCCUAGGCGAUCCAUAAAACCUGGGCGCAUCGCCCAAGCCUAGGCGACCAAACUAGGCGGUCGAUCUCUAGGCGGCCGCCUAGGGCCUGCGCCCUGCAUAGAGGCAGAGAAAAAAAUCGUGAGGGCAUUUCAUGUCCUUUUUCUUUUUUCUUUUUUUUUAAGGCCCAAAAAUUAGGGUUUUAGGUUCAUUUGAAACCUAAACCUUGUUUGAGCCAAAUUUAGAGAGAGAAAACCACCAAAAAACUAGAUUGUUGUGAAUUUUUUAAGAUCGAAUGGUUACUCAAAGUUAACCAAAAUUGAUCAAAACAUCACUCAUUGGUAUUAUAUUUACUUUUUGAUGUUUUGUAAAGUUAUUAGGGGGUGUUUUAGAAGAUUUUGAGUAUUUAGAAGCAUCUUUGAGGUGGAACUUUGAAGAUUGAGCAAUCAAACUCAAAGUAAGUGAUUUUUUUUUAUUGCUUUAGUAAUUUGCAAUAUUUUUUAGAUGUCUUCUUUGGGAUUAAUAAGAGUGGUGAUCCCGGUUGGAAAUACAACUAUAACCCAGAUCCUAAUGAUAAAAAUUGCAAAAGAUGCAAGUUUUGUGAAAAGGAUACAAAAGGGGGAGUAAACCGGUUCAAGAAACAUCUUGCCGGUAUCAGGGGGGAUGUUGCCCCAUGUAAAAAGACUCAUGAUGUUGUUAAAGAGGAAAUAAAGAAUUUUUUGAACAUUGUGAAAAUGAAAAAAGAUGAGAGAAUUGCAACUAUAGCAUAUAUUGGGUCUGAGGUUCGGGUCAAUUUUGAUGAUGAUGAUAGUGAUGAGGAAAGGAUUGGGGAGGGAUGUCAAGAGGUUGAGCAAUCUAUUAUUAAGAGAAAGGGGAAGGGAGUUGUAGUUGCUUCUGGUUCCGGGACUAAGAAGCCUCGAGUUAGAGGCCUUAUGGAUAGUUUUUUACUUCGGCCUGACCCUAAAAUUGCAGGAGAGAACAAAAAAGCAAACCACCAUUGAAAAUAGAAUCAAGAAGGAAGAGAGAGAUAGAGCUGCAUAUUAUCUUGCUACAUGGUUUGAUAAGGUGGGCAUUCCUUUCAAUACCGCUCGCUUAAGCAGCUUCUAUGUUGCGAUAGAGGCAGUUGGCCAAUUUGGCCCUGGGAUCAAACCCUCAACCCCAUAUGAGCUUUCAGAGCCUUUUUCAAAAAAGGCAGUGAGUGCCACAAAGGAAGCAAUAGAACUUAAGAAUCAUGCAUGGGCUCAGUAUGGGGUUCUAUUAUGACUGAUGCUUGGAAUGAUAGAAAGAGAAGAAGUCAGAUGAAUUUUCUUGUCAAUUGUCCUGCAUGGACUAUUUUUUUGAGGUCUAUUGAUGCCUCUGAUCAUAUAUAUGAUGCCCACUACAUAUUUCAAGUGAUAGAAAAGGGAAUCAAGGAGGUUGGGGAGCAUCUUGUUGUACAGGUCGUCACAGACAAUGCUUCUCCUAAUGUUGCUACAUCUAAUUUGUUACGCAUAGCUUAUCCUAGAAUCUUUUGGACACCAUGUGCAGCACAUUAUAUAGACCUCAUGCUUGAGGCUCUUGGCGGUUUAACCGAGAUAUCAAGUGCAGUGAAGAAAGCCAAGUUAGUUACAAAUUUCAUUUAUAGCCACCAUCUCACCCUCAGCAUGAUGCGUACCUUUACAAAGAAAAAAGAGAUUGUGAGGCCUGGGGUCACGAGAUUUGCAACUUGAUACUUAUGUCUAGAUAGCAACAUUCGAGGAGAGUGCAGUUAAAGCAAAUGUUUAUCUCGGACGAGUGGAGAGCAUGCAAAUGGUCUAAGGAUCAGGUUGGGAAGAAGAUGAGACAUAUUAUCCUUUCUAAGGCUUUUUUGCAAGAGGUGAAGGGCGCUCUUAAGGUCUUCUUUCCUCUUGUCAAAGUCCUUCGUAUGGUUGAUAGUGACAAGCCUUCUAUGGGCCACAUAUAUGAUGCUAUGGAGAAAUACAAAAGAGAGAUAGCCCAAAAUUUCAAUGAUGAAGAAACCCGCACUACAAGCCUGUUUGGGAUAUUAUUGAUGAGAAGUGGGAUAGACAGCUACAUCGGCCAUUGCAUGCAGUUGGUUAUUUUUUAACCCAGCUUUGUUUUAUUUUGACAAGGAUAUACGAUCAAAUGAAACAAUUAUGAAUGGAUUUAAUGAGUGUGUAGAGGUCCUAGUCCCUGAUGUUGAAAUUCAGGAUAUUAUAUGCGCUGAUGAGCUGAUAAAUUACAAGUGCUCAUUAAAGUCUUUUGGGACUCCAAUGGCGAUGAGGCAAAGGACCAAAACUGGACCAAGUAUUAAUAAUAUUUUUAAGCUCAUCUUUAUCAAGUUCAAGUAAUCAAGUAAUUCUAUUAUUUAUUUAUGAUUUUUUUUAAUAUCUUUGCAGCCCAUUAGUGGAGCCACCAUGGGUGUAGUUCUCCAAAUUUCCAAAAGUUGGCCAUUAGGAUCUUAAACCUAACCACUUCUCCAUCCGGUUGUGAGCACAGUUGGAGUACUUUUGAAGGGGUAAGGGCGUAAGGGUAAUUUGUAUAAUUUUAUAAAUAAUACAUGAACCAUAGAUAUUCGAUUUUAAUUAGAGUCAUUUGAUUUUGUUAGAUUCAUACAAAGAAAAGGAACAGACUUGAAUCAAAGAGGCUCAAUGACCUAGUUUAUGUCAAGUACAAUCGAUUCCUGAAGGACAGGUUUGCUAAGAGAGAUACGAUAGACCUCAUCAGAUCAAAAAAUAUGGACCAUGCUAUGGAGUGGUUAGUUGAUGAUGAUGAGGUCGAGGUGCAUGAAGGAUUGAUAUGGGACAUGGUCAUGGACGCUUCAGAGACAUCAGCUGACCCUACUAGGGCCACUAGAUCUUCUGCACAAAGAACAAGGAUGGAGGAAGAGGAGGAAAAAGAGGUUGAUUCAGAAGAGACGGAGGAGGACAAGGACGACCAAUAUGUCGAGGAUAGUGACGACUCUGUCGACUCCGAUGUAUAUGAUGCCAAUGCAACUAACCCAAUAUUUUCUGAUGAUGAAUGAAUGAUGAUUGAUGAAUGUUGAUUGUAGACUAAUUAUUAAACUUUGAAAUUUGAACCUUGAUUGAAGUAAUGUGUAUUGAUUAUUGAACUAUUGAAUAUUCUUUUGAGGCUUCAAGUAUUACUUUCAUAGUUUGAUAGUAUCAUAAUUCAAUUUUGUUGUCUUCCUCAUGGUGGUCAGGUGGUGAAAUGCAGUACUAGUAUGAUACUAUUUGAUAACUUGGUUUGAUAAUUUGGUUGGUUGGAAAAUUUUAAGUUUUAAUUGAAUAUAGAGUAUGAACUAACUUAUGGACUAUGGUUAUGCUUAUGGAGUGUGUGUUAAAUGCUGAAUAAUAUAUAGUAUAAUUUGAAUUAUGUAUGGCAAUACAUAUAACUGAUACUGACAAAACUGCAGAAUGCCAUAAUCCUUAUUUGGAUUCAACCAGGCCACCCAUGUUCUGGGCGCCUGCUUAGGAGCUGGGCGGCCUGGACCUCCAGGCUGCCUAGGACCCACCUAGCGCUUUUUGAAACACUGUUUGCAUUGUAUUUUUAUUAAUAUGUCUAAAUCUUAAGUGGCAUAUAUAUGCAUCAUUUUCAGCCACAUUCAUUACCAUAUUGAUAUAAGAAGAAAUAACAUCAUUUAUUCCAUUAACAACAUUUAGAUGAUACAAAUUUUCAACUUUCUCCCCCUAAACAUAAACUCGACCAUGUUUUCUAGUAGAUACCUUCCCAGAUCUGAAAUAAAUGUCAUCGCCCUUUUCGCCUAACCUAGGGACAUAGAUAAGUUUGCGCCUCAUAUUAGGCGCAUAUAAAGUAUUAGAGAGUAGAAAAUUUACAUUCUCAGGCAACUCCAGCUUCUAUGUGCCAACACCUAGCACAUCACAGAAGGUGUCAUUUCCCAUGUAUAUCUGCUGGUCGUCGGUUUUGGCUUCCUUCAAAUCGACAAAACCAUCCGUAGUGUUUGAAAUAUGUCUAGUUGAUGCAAAGUCCACCCACCAUCCUCUCAUAUUAUGAUCAGCCACAAUAGAUUUAGAGAUCACACAAACUAAAUCGAAUUUUUGUUAUUCUUGUGGUUGCUCCUUUGCCCAUUGUUCAUGCGGUAGCCAUUAGAAAUAUUUUUACUUGGACAUUUAGUUUUAAUAUGCCCUAUCUUCCUGCAGUUGCAAUAUAUUGGCAGGUUGUUGUAGGUCUUUCCCCCUUGUGGUUUGAAAACCUUACCCCUCCUUUAAAUCGAUUAUUUUUGUUGUGAUUGUUGUAGGGUUUAGGGUGGUCAUGUUUAGAGGAAUUUUGAGCAAAGUACAAUUCUACCUUUCCCUUUUUAUUUCUUCUGUAUUCCUUUAUACUCAGGUGCCUGGGUAAAUUCAACAUGGUAAUUCCUUGAGAUGAGUAAUUAAGAGCAUUGAUCACAGGUUCUCAUGACUGUGAGAAACUAUUCAAUACAGUUAACACUUGCAUAAGAUCGAGAUGAGGUUUCUUGUCGCAGCAAGGUAUUUAGCAAGAACAAGCAUUUUGUUAACAUGCUCUACAUGGAUUUAUUUUCCCUCAUCCUACAUGAAUUGAAUUUCUCAAGCAAAAAGUUGAAUAUGGGUAGAUCCAUCUUUUUUCAAUCACGCUUCCGUCAUUAAUUUGGAUGUUUCAAAGUCUUCAAAAAUUCUUAUCAAAUUAUCCUCCACAAAUAUAAGCAAUGUAAUUUUUGCUAAUUUGUCAUCCCCCUCCCAUUCCACAAGUUUUCUUCUACUAUGAGCAGAAGCGUUUAAACCCAAUUAAAGUUUAGUAGAAGUCAAAAUGUAGUCAAUCUCGUCUUAAAUCAAUAUAUAGUUCAUUUUUCUUUUCCUCAUAUUGAAAUUUGACCCAUUGAGUUUUUCUGUUUGGAUAGGUCACUCAUCACCAAUCUAGCAGCCAUGUUAUCAAAGAAAUACAGGAAUAUCAACAAAUUGAAGUUUUAGAUCAACUAUCAAAGAAAUAUAGGAAUAUCAACAAAUUCAAGGUUUAGAUCAACUAACCACUUUCUCGAUAAAUGAUUUUAUCAAUUUCUCGGAUGAUGAUGGUGAUACUGUUUUGGUCAAUGGUGAGUCACAUAUCUCCUUUAUUGAGGGCGACAAGUCCAAGUCUUUUUGCUAUAAAAAUAAUCGAAGCCCUGUAUGGUGUGCUUGGCCGUGUGAAGGAAUCAGCCUGUUGCUUUACUAUGGAAAUGCUCAGCGAAAAAUAAAACUUUUGGUCGAUAGAGCUUUCACACGUAUAGAGAGCAGUGGAUUAUCGUUUGACUCAAGAUGCAAAAAGAUAUCCCACCCAAUAAGGUUCUCAACAGAGAGAGAAGGAGGCAACAAAAGUUAAAAAAAAAGUGUAGAUAAUGGACAAAAACAUUGCUCUUUAAAGGAAGAGAGAGCACACAUAAAGACAAAAUAGUGUUGCAUGCGUAAACUUGCAAGUGGCAAUAGUGUGCCCCUUAUGAACUCUAGACAGAAACAAGAGAAUCUUGUAAAUUUGAUAGAGCCCCACAAAGAAAAGAACCACACUAUGAUAUCAGUGUCAAAAAAUUAUUAUAAAAACAAUUUGACUGAAAAAUGAUAGAGAGAGAAAGAUAAAAAAAAAAGAAAAAUUGCUAAAAACCCCCAAAUAUGGACUAUCUAGGCACUCUACCCCCAACCUAACUUUUCCUAACAUAUUUUUCCCCAAAACCAACUUUUCUAGUUAAUACCCCCAAUACAAAAGUUCAUUUUUUUAACGAAAAUACCCUUCCAGUACAUAAAAAAUCAUUUUCAGAUCCCAAUAAAAAGAAACGUCAGACUGCACUUGUACAAUGCCAGACUGCUCAUUCAAAAACACCGUACCGCCACUUUAAAAUGCCUGACUGCCCUUCAAAAUGCCGUGUCGUCACUUCAAAAUGUCGAACUGCCCCUUCAAAAUGCCGGACUGCCUAUUUCUCCAAUAGCAUAAUCCCCGGACCGUCACAAUGAAAUGUCGGACCGCUAUUUCAAAACGCCGGAUCGCUAUUUCAAAUCACUGGACCGCCUCUUCUCAACACCAGACCGCCUCUUCUCAACACCAGACUGCCUCUUCUAACUGUCGGAUUGCCCUUUUCCAGUGAAAACUAUCGUUAUGUGAGGGAAGGGUAUUUUUGUCAAAAAAAAGUGAACUUUUUGUAUUGGGGGGCUAUUAGCUAGAAAAGUUGGUUUUGGGGAAAAAUAUGUUAGGAAAAGUUACGUUGGGAGUAAAGUGCCUAGAAAGUCUAUAUUUGGGGGUUUUUAACAAUUUUCCCUAAACAAAAAGAAAAAAAAGAUUUUGUUGUAAAGCUUAUGGAUAACUAGAGAGAUAGGCAAUGGCUCUGAGAUUUUUCUCCUGUGUUCUGUAAUGGGUGAGAGAGCCCCUUUUAUAAGCAUUGGAGCUUAUCCCCUCACCACAUAUAGCAAAUUUUGCAUCCAAUGGUCCAGAUUUCUCUGUGCCCAUAUGAAUAGCUAAGCCUUCCCAUUUUUUAUCACUCUCCCUCUUACCUCAAAGAAAAAGUGUUUGGUUUAAUGUGACCGUUAGAACAUCAUUGAUGGGUGGUUCAGAAAAACAAUGAAAUCUACUAUAAAAGAUAGUCAAAGGAUUUGAAUGCGAUAAGACCAUUAUAGCAAGUAUACGAUAUACUUUAAUUAAAUUAAAUACAGUUAAAAUAGAAGAUAAGAGAGUGACCAUGAAUACUACGAUGGUCAUGAGGCCUUAUUGGCCAUAAUCCAACAAGUAGAGAGUUCUACAAAAUAAAGUUGUGCAAACUUCCAAUAUACCCAAAGAUAUCCUCAAAGUACUGGCCCAAAACAACGUCGGAUGGAACACAUAACGAGAAAAUAAUUUUUGGACAAUGGUCAAUGGGCUGUGGAGCAGGGAAAAGUAUCAAAAUUACAAAGAUGCCUACUCAAAACUCAUGCAGAUGGACAGUGGAAGAACCAUAACCUCAAAAUUUCAUGCCAUUUGGACACUGUUUGAUGGGGUUUAUUGAAGUUUUUCCCAUUCAAAAUAUUAUUGAAAGGACGUGGUUAGCAUGCGGCAAGCCCGAAUAUUGUAUAAAUGUGGGCUUGGCAAUAAAUAUAUUUUUAAUUAUAAUUUGAUCCUAAUUUUUAGAGUACAUAUAAUUUUUAAUAUGGAGAUCAAGAAUAUGAAAAAUAAAUAAAUUUUGAAAACUAGAAAUAAUAGUUAUAUUAAAAAAGGGUGCGGUUUGUAUAGAGCCUAGGCUCUAAACAAUCAAAUUAGAGCCUCCCUUCAAAUCGUGUUGAGAAAUAUGGUUUCAAUAUUGGAAAUCUUUGUGAUAGCCUUAUUUUCAUCUUUAUUUAUAAAGUUUAGAGCUUCAAAAUACUGUAGAUUGACAGAUAUUUGAAAACUUAAAAAUCUUGAAAAUUGACGGUCCAAUGCAUUACAAAAUACACUAGUUCCAAAACUUGAAAUCCAUUUUUUUCUCAUGUCCAUGCAUCUUGAUGUCAAGAUGAUCAAUUUGAGGAUAUUUGGGCAUCAAAACAAUAUUUUCUAGUGAAAUUUUUGAGGUAGGCUCUUAUUUGAUUAUUUAGAGCCUCAGCUCUAUAUAAACUUUUCCCAUUAAAAAACAUUUGGACCGUUAAUUACAAUUGUUUUUAGAUGGACCACCUAUUUGCAUCCAUCUUUAAGAUGGAUGCUUUAUACCUCUGGACAGCAUAUAGUAGAAAUGCGGUCCAGCCCGCAUGAAACAAUUGUUUUUAUUGAAAAGUAAUUUCUUUUAUUAUGAAGAGGGGCAAAUUUCUUGCAAGGUUGCGUAAUUUUCAGCGAACUUCUCGCCUUGAUUUCUCACAAAAGCCAUGGUGGAUCGAUAAUAAAUAUGACUAUAUUGUUUCUUGAGAUGAGAGCUUUCUCGAAAGUUAUGAUUUCUGGGGUAUUUUGUCUCCUUGUGAUGAGAACUUCCCCACAGAGUAGGAUGAUGUGGCGUUUCGAGGAUACUCUGGUGAAACAAAUGCCCUCCAACCAUUACGUAUUAGGGAAGGAAAUAUUAAAAGUUGUUGUAGCUGUCUACCUCCAAGAACAAAUCUUAAUUCCUAAAUCCUAAAAUUCCUAUAAACCCAUAACCCUGAACUAUAGGGACAUAAAAGCCAGUACAUCCUAACCAAUAGCCCAUAACUCCUAAAAACUACAAAAUCUUCUUAAACAAGUCGAAUCAACCCAAAUUUGUCCACAUUCUGAUUGAUUUAGACUUAUCCAAAACAAAAAAUAGAGUCCUAAAGCGCUAAGAAAACCUAUAUCAGACAUCUCAAAACCCAUUUGAUUGGUACCAAACUAGCACUUCUAAACUCAACAGGUUUUUAUACCACCCAGAAAAAUUUAGGCCGGAUCUAAGCUAGCAGUGAGAUGUGCAUCGCUCGACUCUUUUUGCACCAGAUUUUUUGAGAGACUCUUGUUAGCCUAGAUAAAUCCAUUACUAUAUUGGACCAACUUCGGUUCAGUUUCUAGAAGGUAUAUUUCAGGAAUUUUCUAGAGCCCUAAAACCUUGUAGAAGACAAAAUUCUUUGACCAAUCAAACCCUAUCAUGAAGCCUAAAGAUAGAUCUAUAACUCCAAUUCUGGAUUGAAUUAGAACCAAAGUAGAGGUCUAUAUACAACUACCUCUAGUUUCUCUCCAUUCAUAAUAAAAAAUAACGUAAAAUCCUAGGGAAGUUCCUUAAGGGCCCGUUUGAUAACUGGAAGCAAGUUCAUGAACUGUAAAUUGGACAUUCCUGAAGAACUUUAAAUUAGAAGUUACUUAAGAAGUUCAUGGUUUCUGUGUUUGAUAACUUCUCUGGGAAGUUAAGAAGUUCCUGGUUUAUGUGUUUGAUAGCCUCCCGGGAAGUUAAGAAGUUCCUGGUUUUUAUGUUUGAUAACCUCCUGGGAAGUUAAAGAAGUUUUGGGUGUCUGUAUUGGAUUAGCUUUAAAUAGAUAAGAUGUAAAAUGUUAAAAUUGAGACCUAGACAUUAUUUAUUUGUUAUUAAUUUGUAGAAUUUUUUUUUUAAAUUUUAUUAAUUUGUAGAAUAUUAUUUUUUGGGGAUACAAUAUCAAUUGAAAGUAAAGUAUAUUGGAUUGAGAGAGAGAGGGAGAGAAAGAGAGUGUUAUUGAUGAGUGAGAGAAGUGUCCUAGAGAGAUAAAUUUGUACAUAAAUUGAAGCAAGAUGUUGCAUAAUAAACUUCAUUGCACCUCAAAAUUGAAGCAAUCUAUAGACAAUGUCAAGCAGAACCUCAAUUCAAUAUUAUGUACUAAAUCACUAGUUUCCUAAUCAACUGUCUCAAAAUAGAAAUCAACAUAUUUUCUUAACUAUUGUGGGUAUACAAUCUAUUGAGUCUUUUUACAAAUAUGCAGUGGAAUAGGUGUUUAAAUUUCAUAAGUAGGUUGUCGAUGACUUUCUUCUUAAACCGAUUACAAACUCUCUCUUGCUCUCUCGUUAUUCCUCACACACACGUGCACACACAUACAUGCACACUCAUUAUCUAUCGGCAGCCAUGGCAAUUGUGGAUUUGGUUUCCUGUAUUCUAUUGGAUUGUGCUAUAAUAGCUUCAGCACAACAUACAAACACACAUGCACAAUUAAUGCAUCCAUAUACAAGCAAUAAGAAACCAGCUCAUUCAAUAACAACUUGUAAUAGCUUGAACACCACUUUGACAUACAUUCACAACUGAUGCAUCCAUAUCCCAACCUCAAAAAUAUAUCUCAUUCAACAAUAAAACAACAUUGUUGUUUGUCCCACAAUGUUCCCAACAUUAAUGAAAAGAAAGACUAGAUGCUUAGGAAGACAAUCUAGAGAUGCCGAGAUCCCUUGAGGAAGACAUCAAUACCUAUUUCUUCCCCCUUCCACAUGGCCUCAAUGAAGCAUUUGUGCCAAAUAUCUUCUCCAAUUUGUUGAAGUAUAUAGGCAAAGAUUUACCUCUGUACUUUGUCAUAUAAGUAAACUCCAGUAAGAAGAACACACAUAUGUAUUGAAUUUGUGUGAACAUUGCACCUAAACUUGCAAAACCACAAAGAAAUAGACAACAAAUGCAUUUCAACUCACAGCUGUAUACCGAUCCCAUAUGGCUGGUUCGGCAGUCACCAUUCGAUUAGCCUUAUCCCAGCCAAAACAGGGUUGUCUCAAAAUGUUUCUUACGUACUUCCCUGUACAUUUCUACAGACUGCUUGACCUUACUCUUCAACAGUUCCAAGUCAUAAAAGUACCCAUAAUUGCUUACCAUAUAUUUUGUCAUCUGAUUCCGUACACCUUUCUUGAAGUCCCCCUUUCUUUACCUCUUUCGACAAGAGAUCAAUGAAUUGGGCCUCCUCUACAGGGUUCCACUGGCUCAUAUUGUUAUGGUAAUCUUUAGCAGUUAUAAUAAAGCCUCAUUAGGUUGAUUUCUUUAAACUAGAUGGCACUUAAUAUUAAGUAUAAAUAAACAAUAAAAAGUACAAGGCAUUAUAGCUCAAACAUAAAUAUUUAACAAAAGUUGACAUUUUCUCCAAAAAUAUAGGCACAUUUAACAAAUAACCCUGCCUAACUAUAUAGGCAAUCCUAAAUAACUGUAGUCUUAAGCGAUCAUAGUCACACCAAAGAAGUCCAACUUCUGGAGGAAUGGAGGACAAGCAAGUUUUUGUGUAUUGUAGUUUUACAAGAAUCUAGGCUGUGUUUUGGGAAAAGGGGGGGGGUUACAAGUAAUAGCCUUUCCCCAUAGAUUAUAACGGACCACACUACGACGCCAACGAAUCUUAAAUGGGUACAAGAAAAAAACAUUGGCGUUGCUGAAAAAAUGUACGCCCAAAUGAGGCCUCAGUCACAACCAUUCUUCUACCGCUGAAAAAUUCAUCGGCUCUCUCUAAUAGACAAAAACGUCCAAAGAAUCAUGAUUAUGAUAUAUUAUGGGAGUACCUUUACUUGGAUAUUCAUCAGGCAGAUGUAGUCAAAAUUAGAUAUUAGCAGACUACUUAACAAACCAACCACAUAGCAUGAUACUUCCAUUUCAUAUAUUUGACCAACAAUGUAAAACAUACGGCCUAUCCAUAUUGUUCUCAUGCGACUUUGGGGACAGCAUACAAUGCUAAAAGAUUAAUACAAGUUCGAUAAAGAAAUGGCAUUACAUUCACAAAUUGAAAAAGAAAUGACCAUAAACAAAAAUUUCUUCCACAAAUGCUACACAUUCAGGAAGCAUCACACAUACUGGAAUUUUCAGGAAUCAAUUACCAAUUAGUCGAUAAUCUAAUCAUGAGAUUCUAGAUAAUCAAACCAAAAUUAAUAGUUAAUAGCUACUACAGCUCCUGAUAUGAGAAAACAGAUGCAUGCAAACAAACAGUCAUAAGAUGUAUUUUCUUUUCUUUUGUUUUCUUUUUCAAAGGCUACAGUCUCACUUGUUUUUUCAGAAGUGUGACCAGAUACUUACUUGCUCUUACAAUCCACACAUUCCCUGUUCUCUGGCAGUUUUAGAAGCCCCUCCAAUAUCUAAAAAGAACAAUACCCAAAGAAUAAUUAAUUCUAAUUUAUUCAACUUAAAUUUGUAAAUUAAUAAGCAUUAUCUGCUCAAAAGUACAAAAAGCUCUCUCCAAAAACCUCCGAACACCAUGAAAUAUGAAAAUAACAAAAACAUAGAAGAUUGACAACUUCCCAUAAAGAAUCGAAUAGUAACCCAGGAAAAUGAAACUGGCCAACAUAAAACAAAUUAGUAACAGAUGCGGGCUUCUAAGAUGACAAAGUUAACAACUUGACCUGAAAGAUCCCUGUUUCAAACUCCUAUUUAAGACCCUUCUCAUCUUUUGGAACUUUACACAUCAAACAAAUCUUGACUGGAUCAAUAACUAGCAAAUCACAAAAGCUCACAUGUAGAUUUGAUUCAUGUGUUCACCAAUCUUAAAUGAGAAACCUUGAAUGCUAUAUGAUAUGUGCAAUAUUUCAUAAACCCGCACAAAUUCUUUCAAAACAUCAUAAGAUGAGAUCAAUAGACUUAAGAAAAUCACCAACUAACAUCAAUUCCAUUUUCAAAUAAUUUCAGCUCAGGCAAUUUUACCGAGAGAGAGUGGCAAAGCAAAUGCAGUACUAACAAUAAUACUAAAACCAAAAUGUUUUAACAGAAAGAUACCACAAUUUCCAAUCUUUUUGCUAAUGCUUAAUACAUGAAGACUAAAAAAAAAACCAACCUAAUACAUAAAAACUAGAUAAUAACAGUAUCUGUCACUUGAUUAGAUUUUAAGACAUGCAUGCCUUCCACCCAUAUUUCAAUCAAAUUCAAAAUGAGGGGAAAAAAUAGGAACCCAAAAUGAUCAAAUAAUUCAAUUCACAUUAGUAAUAUUGGGAAUGAGAAAUGUGAAAAUAAAGAAGAAAAUAAUACAAGGGAGAGAAAUUUUACAAUAAUUGAAGGGAAAGGUAAAAUAGGGAAUACCUUCUUGUGUUUGGCAUUAAGCUCCUUGGAUAAGACCCGUUGCAUUCACUUACAACAAGAAACAAGCACCUGCGUUUGGUGCAGCAGCUGCAUUUUGGUGCAUUCUUCUUCCUUUCCUUCGUCCUUCGUUCCGUCAUAUUCCAAAAAACUUAUCCAAUUACAACGUAUUAACCGCUAAUGCACCUUCCUUUUAUCAAAUCUCAGGGGGCCUUCUCGGGCCUUCUCGUUCAUGCUUGCCUGAAAUACAUAGAGAUUUGGCAGCUGAGGACAAGCGAAGAGAGAGAAAGAGGAAAAAUAAAUUCACCUGAGCUCUUUGCUUCAAGAGCUCAAAAACAAACACAGAGAUCAAUAACACAGAGAAUAAGAGCUCUUUGCUUCAAAAGCUCAUGAACAAACACAGAGAUCAUCAACACAAAGAGAAUAAAGUCAAUGGCGUACCUCAAGAUCAAUGGCAAGGAUCAGAGCUCAAGGAUAGCUGAGUAAACACUAGCGGGCUGCAAAGAGAGGGGUUGGCAUGCUGCGAACAGAGGGCUGGUCAGCGGCUGAACUCGAAGAACAGAAGAGAGGGGUCGUGCUGCGAAGAGAGGGGUGCUCAAUGGCAAAGAUGGGAAGUUGCAAAGAGAGGGGUGCUCAGCGGGGUGGGUGUUCAGUGGUGUAAAUGAGAAAAGAGGCUAGGGUUAUCGAAGAAGAGGAAGUUACAAACUUCCAAUUUUAAGUUCGCCCUUUGGGUCGGAACUUCUUU
rnacentral:lncRNA from 1 species